CCUGUUCAAUCAAUAAUGAAAGUAAAAUAGUGAAAUAACAAUUCGUUUUUUUGCAGCCAAAAAGGUUCAAUUUUGUCAAAUUACGCUAAGAAACAUUGAUAAUUAGUAAUUCACUUGCAAGUGAAUGAGUCGACCUCUUUAAAUCCGUAUUCAUGUGAACUUCAAUUUAACCCCUAGCUAGAGAUUGACAACGCAUGCAUUGUACGUGUACUGGUUAUUUAAAGAAAAAGAAUGUCAACAAUGAAAGUGAAACUACGGUAAAUCAUUUGAUUACUAAUUCGAUGCACAUAAAAUCAUUCUUAUACGGUUAAAAACAAUGAGAAACAUAUAUUUUUAAUCUAUAAAAUAAAAUCAAACAGACCUAUAAAAAUCCAAUUGCACAUGUUGGUUUAAUCUAUUCAUAUUUUUAUUUAUGUUUACAUCGCUUAUAUGGUCAUCUGAGGUCACAUCGAUAGGUAAUUAGAUGGCGUCUGGACUAAAAUACACACGAAACGAAC
rnacentral:lncRNA from 1 species